GGAUUAGAUACCCUGGUAGUCCUUGCCGUAAACUAUGUAUACUUGGUGUAACUGGACUCAACCCUAGUUGUGCCGAAGCUAACGCGAUAAGUAUACCGCCUGAGGAGUACGCUCGCAAGGGUGAAACUCAAAAGAAUUGACGGGGACCCGCACAAGCAGUGGAGCAUGUGGUUUAAUUCGAUGCAACGCGAAGAACCUUACCCAGACUUGACAUGCAGUAGACAGUUCUAGAAAUAGAAUCUUCCUUCGGGACUGCUGCACAGGUGCUGCAUGGCUGUCGUCAGCUCGUGCCG
rnacentral:rRNA from 1 species